GGUAGUAUGGCUGAGUAAGCAUUAGACUGUAAAUCUAAACACAGAGGUUCCAGUCCUCUUAUUGCCA
rnacentral:tRNA from 1 species